UUGAUUUUUUUUUUUUAAGGUGGAGAAAAGAAUAAAGAAACCCAUAUUUCUUGAACUUCUCCUCUGAACCAAAUACAGCCUUUAGAAUUUCCAGGACUGUACCUACCAUCAAAUUCAUGAUCCUCUUCUGGAAAAUGUACUCACCCAGCUACCUCUUGGUCUGCAUCCUUGCUGCUGCUGGCUUCAGGGAUACUGACUACAGUGAUUGGUGCGGGGAGCAUUUCUUCCUACCACAAACUACUCUGCUAACCUCAGUCCAGGAUGUCCCCUCUAAUAGAGAUGCUCACUGUAGCACAGAAAGAAGAGUGAUGACUAAAAUCAUAUAACAUUUGAGGAGCAGGCUAAGAACCCUCUGGCUGCCCUAAAAAGUUAAAAGAAAGGGACUGUGCACCAAUGUGUUUAAAACUGACCAGAAUU